AGUGCAGUUGCAGUCGAUUCCGUUCACACUGCGGGGGAUGAAUCGGUACGACGUGACAUAAGUGACGUGGACAUGACACGGUGGACCCUCGCAGGUUUUAGGGUUAGGGUUUCGGUAGAACAGUGCCGAAGGCUUCAUAUGCAGCCUUCGAACUCAACAUCUGCCUCUUUCUCCUAGCUGCCGGCGGGCUGGAAGUCUCAUUGCUUGUGGAAUCAUGAGGGCUAAGUGGAAGAAGAAACGUAUGAGGCGCCUGAAACGCAAGCGCCGAAAGAUGAGGCAGAGAUCGAAGUAGGCAGCUGUGAAGAGGAGCCGCCUCGAUCUCGCUGGGAAAAGUUUGUCGUUUGAGCUUUUAGGGUGGCUAAAUGGAGGGCUGCGGAUUGUGAAUUCUUGUGCCGCUAUCUCGUUGGGGAGGAUCUUCAGAAUCUUACUAUUUAAACAGGAGAUGUGUAUACCACUCAUGCCUUGUAGUCAGACGUGGAAUACUAUGAUGCGGGGAACGUGAGGCCUGAAUUCAUUCUUUCCGAUGGAUGUGUCAUUGUAAA